UAUUGCGCAAUGGGGGAAACCCUGACGCAGCGACGCCGCGUGAGUGAUGAAGGACUUCGGUUCGUAAAGCUCUGUUGCAAGGGAAAAAGUUCUGAUUGUACCUUGUGAGGAAGGGUCGGCUAACUUCGUGCCAGCAGCCGCGGUAAGACGAGGGACCCUAGCGUUGUUCGGAAUCAUUGGGCGUAAAGCGGGUGCAGGUGGCUUUGUAAGUCAGGUGUGAAAGCCCAGGGCUCAACCCUGGAAGUGCAUUUGAUACUGCGAAGCUUGAGUGCUGGAGAGGUUACUAGAAUUCCAGGUGUAGUGGUGAAAUACGUAGAUAUCUGGAGGAAUACCGGAGGCGAAGGCGGGUAACUGGCCAGACACUGACACUCAGACCCGAAAGCGUGGGGAUCAAACAGGAUUAGAUACCCUGGUAGUCCACGCCAUAAACGAUGGAUACUUGUUGUUGGAGGUUUUGACCCCUUCAGUGACGAAGCUAACGCGUUAAGUAUCCCGCCUGGGGAGUACGGUCGCAAGAUUAAAACUCAAAGAAAUUGACGGGGGCCCGCACAAGCGGUGGAGUAUGUGGUUUAAUUCGAUGCAACGCGCAAAACCUUACCUGGGCUUGACAUGGACUGGAAGAGUAGCAGAAACGCUCUCGCCCGCAAGGGCCGGUUCACAGGUGCUGCAUGGCUGUCGUCAGCUCGUGUCGUGAGAUGUUGG
rnacentral:rRNA from 1 species